rnacentral:rRNA from 1 species
CGUGCAUAUCGGUAAGCGGAGGAAAAGAAACUAACAAGGAUUCCCCUAGUAACGGCGAGUGAAGCGGGAAGAGCUCAAAUUUGAAAUCUGGCAGUCUUCGAUUGUCCGAGUUGUAAUCUAUAGAGGCGUUUUCCGUGCCGGACCGUGUCCAAGUCUCCUGGAAAGGAGUAUCAAAGAGGGUGAUAAUCCCGUACUUAACACGACCACCGGUGCUCUGUGAUACGUCUUCUACGAGUCGAGUUGUUUGGGAAUGCAGCUCAAAAUGGGUGGUGAAUUCCAUCUAAAGCUAAAUAUUGGCGAGAGACCGAUAGCGAACAAGUACCGUGAGGGAAAGAUGAAAAGCACUUUGGAAAGAGAGUUAAACAGUACGUGAAAUUGUUGAAAGGGAAACGAUUGAAGUCAGUCGUGUUCUUUGGAUUCAGCCAGUUCUGCUGGUCUACUUCCUUUGAACGGGUCAACAUCAGUUUUGUCCGGUGGAUAAAGGUAGUAGGAAUGUGACUUCCCCGGAAGUGUUAUAGCCUAUUAUCACAUACACUGGGUGAGACUGAGGACUGCAGCUCGCCUUUAUGGCCGACCUUCGGGUACGUCGAGCUUAGGAUGUGAACA